GAUGAACGCUGGCGGCGUGCCUAACACAUGCAAGUCGAGCGAUUCUCUUCGGAGAAGAGCGGCGGGCGGGUGAGUAACGCGUGGGUAACCUGCCCUGUACACACGGAUAACAUACCGAAAGGUAUGCUAAUACGGUAUAACAUAAGAAAAUCGCAUGUUUUUCUUAUCAAAGCUCCGGCGGUACAGUAUGGACCAGCGUCUGAUUAGCUAGUUGGUGAGGUAACGGCGCACCAAGGCGACGAUCAGUAGCCGACCUGAGAGGGUGAUCGGCCACAUUUGAACUGAGACACGGUCCAAACUCCUACGGGAGGCAGCAGUAGGGAAUAUUGCACAAUGGGCGAAAGCCUGAUGCAGCAACGCCGCGUGAGCGAUGAAGGCCUUCGGGUCGUAAAGCUCUGUCCUCAAGGAAGAUAAUGACGGUACUUGAGGAGGAAGCCCCGGCUAACUACGUGCCAGCCGCCGCGGUAACAC
rnacentral:rRNA from 1 species